GAGUUUGAUCAUGGCUCAGGACGAACGCUGGCGGCGUGCUUAAUACAUGCAAGUCAAUUUGUUUUACGGUAGCAAUAUUGUAAGAAGAGUGGCGCACGGGUGAGUAACGCGUAUGCAACCUGCCCUUUACAGGGGGAUAGCCCGUAGAAAUGCGGAUUAAUACCCCAUAGAUCUGUUUGAUCGCAUGGUUAUACAGAUAAAGCCGAGGUGGUAAAGGAUGGGCAUGCGUGACAUUAGCUAGUUGGUAGGGUAACGGCCUACCAAGGCUACGAUGUCUAGGGGUUCUGAGAGGAGGAUCCCCCACACUGGUACUGAGACACGGACCAGACUCCUACGGGAGGCAGCAGUGAGGAAUAUUGGUCAAUGGGCGAGAGCCUGAACCAGCCAUCCCGCGUGCAGGAAGAAUGCCCUAUGGGUUGUAAACUGCUUUUUCGCAUGAAGAACAUUCCGGUCGUGACCGGGACUGACGGUAAUGCGUGAAUAAGCACCGGCUAACUCCGUGCCAGCAGCCGCGGUAAUACGGGGGGUGCAAGCGUUAUCCGGAUUUAUUGGGUUUAAAGGGUGCGUAGGCGGCGAACUAAGUCAGUGGUGAAAUCCUGCAGCUCAACUGUAGAACAGCCAUUGAAACUGCUUUGCUUGAGUGAUCUUGAGGUAGGCGGAAUGUGUAGUGUAGCGGUGAAAUGCUUAGAUAUUACACAGA
rnacentral:rRNA from 1 species